rnacentral:rRNA from 1 species
AACGAACGCUGGCGGCAGGCCUAACACAUGCAAGUCGAGCGCCCUGCUUGCAGGGAGCGGCGGACGGGUGAGUAACGCGUGGGAACGUGCCCUUUAGUUCAGAAUAGCCACUGGAAACGGUGAGUAAUACUGGAUACGCCCUUCGGGGGAAAGAUUUAUCGCUAAAGGAUCGGCCCGCGUUGGAUUAGCUAGUUGGUGGGGUAAAGGCCUACCAAGCCUACGAUCUAUAGCUGGUUUUAGAGGAUGAUCAGCAACACUGGGACUGAGACACGGCCCAGACUCCUACGGGAGGCAGCAGUGGGGAAUCUUAGACAAUGGGGGCAACCCUGAUCUAGCCAUGCCGCGUGAGUGAUGAAGGCCUUAGGGUCGUAAAGCUCUUUCGCCUGUGAUGAUAAUGACAGUAGCAGGUAAAGAAACCCCGGCUAACUCCGUG